GUGCAUGGCGCAGCUACACAUGCAAGUCGAACGGCAGCACAGCAGUAGCAAUACUGUGGGUGGCGAGUGGCGGACGGGUGGGGAACACAUCGGAAUCUACCCUGUCGUGGGGGAUAACGUAGGGAAACUUACGCUAAUACCGCAUACGACCUAUGGGUGAAAGCGGCGGACCGCAAGGCGUCGCGCGACUGGAUGAGCCGAUGUCCGAUUAGCUAGUUGGCGGGGUAAUGGCCCACCAAGGCGACGAUCGGUAGCUGGUCUGAGAGGAUGAUCAGCCACACUGGAACUGAGACACGGUCCAGACUCCUACGGGAGGCAGCAGUGGGGAAUAUUGGACAAUGGGCGCAAGCCUGAUCCAGCCAUGCCGCGUGUGUGAAGAAGGCCUUCGGGUUGUAAAGCACUUUUGUUGGGGAAGAAAAGCACUGGGUUAAUACCUUGGUGUUCUGACGGUACCCAAAGAAUAAGCACCGGCUAACUUCGUGCCAGCAGCCGCGGUAAUACGAAGGGUGCAAGCGUUACUCGGAAUUACUGGGCGUAAAGCGUGCGUAGGUGGUGAGUUAAGUCUGUCGUGAAAGCCCCGGGCUCAACCUGGGAAUGGCGAUGGAUACUGGCUCGCUAGAGUGCGGUAGAGGAGAGUGGAAUUCCCGGUGUAGCAGUGAAAUGCGUAGAGAUCGGGAGGAACAUCAGAUGCGAACGCGUCUCUCUGGACCAGCACUGACACUGAAGCACGAUGGCGUGCGGAGCAAACACGAUUAGAUACUCUGCUAGCCACGCCCUACACGAUGCCGAACUGGACGUUGAGAGUAAUCGGGCUCAUAAUGAAGAUCUCACGCCCUAAGUCGAUGUCUGAAGAGUACGGUCGAAAGUCUGAAAAUCGAGGGAUUGACUCGCGCCAGAACAAACAGAUGGAAUAAGUGAUGAUGGAAUGCAUCCUAUAGUACCUGACAGGGCGUGUCCGCCCGCAGGAAUUCCAUUCAGAUGCUGCAUUA
rnacentral:rRNA from 1 species